AGCGAACGCUGGCGGCAGGCCUAACACAUGCAAGUCGAACGGACCCUUCGGGGUUAGUGGCGGACGGGUGAGUAACAGGUGGGAACGUGCCUUUAGGUUCGGAAUAGCUCCUGGAAACGGGUGGUAAUGCCGAAUGUGCCCUUCGGGGGAAAGAUUUAUCGCCUUUAAAUCGGCCCGCGUCUGAUUAGCUAGUUGGUGAGGUAAUGGCUCACCAAGGCGACGAUCAGUAGCUGGUCUGAGAGGAUGAACAGCCACACUGGGACUGAGACACGGCCCAGACUCCUACGGGAGGCAGCAGUGGGGAAUCUUGCGCAAUGGGCGAAAGCCUGACGCAGCCAUGCCGCGUGAAUGAUGAAGGUCUUAGGAUUGUAAAAUUCUUUCACCGGGGACGAUAAUGACGGUACCCGGAGAAGAAGCCCCGGCUAACUUCGUGCCAGCAGCCGCCGUAACAC
rnacentral:rRNA from 1 species